rnacentral:rRNA from 1 species
CCUACGGGAGGCAGCAGUAGGGAAUUUUCGUCAAUGGGCGCAAGCCUGAACGAGCAAUGCCGCGUGAACGAGGAAGGUCUUCGGAUCGUAAAGUUCUGUUGAAGGGGAAAAAGAGCGGAGAGAGGAAAUGGUCUCCGAUUGAUAUUACCCUUCGAGGAAGUCACGGCUAACUACGUGCCAGCAGCCGCGGUAAUACGUAGGUGGCGAGCGUUAUCCGGAAUGAUUGGGCGUAAAGGGUGUGUAGGCGGCCUGCUAAGUCUGGAGUGAAAGGUACCGGCUCAACCGGUACAGGCUCUGGAAACUGGCGGGCUAGAGAGAAGGAGAGGGCGGUGGAACUCCAUGGGGAGCGGUAAAAUGCGUAGAUAUAUGGAAGAACACCAGUGGCGAAGGCGGCCGCCUGGCCUGUUGACUGACGCUGAGGCACGAAAGCGUGGGGAGCAAAUAGGAUUAGAUACCCCUGUAGUC